AGAGCGAACGCUGGCGGCAGGCUUAACACAUGCAAGUCGAGCGCCCCGCAAGGGGAGCGGCAGACGGGAGAGUAACACGUGGGAACGUACCUUUCGGUUCGGAACAACCCAGGGAAACUUGGGCUAAUACCGGAUACGUCCGUAAGGAGAAAGAUUUAUCGCCGAAAGAUCGGCCCGCGUCUGAUUAGCUAGUUGGUGAGGUAACGGCUCACCAAGGCGACGAUCAGUAGCUGGUCUGAGAGGAUGAUCAGCCUCACUGGGACUGAGACACGGCCCAGACUCCUACGGGAGGCAGCAGUGGGGAAUAUUGGACAAUGGGCGCAAGCCUGAUCCAGCCAUGCCGCGUGGGUGAUGAAGGCCCUAGGGGUUGUAAAGCCCUUUCGGCGGGGAAGAUAAUGACGGUACCCGCAGAAGAAGCCCCGGCUAACUUCGCGCCAGCAGCCGC
rnacentral:rRNA from 1 species